UACACCUGUACUUCUACCAGCAGUGGAGAACAGUGUGAUGAGCUACAUAAGGCUGAGGGUACACCUGUACGUCUACCAGCAGUGGAGAACAGUGUGCAAAUACAAUUUCCAAUUCUAACGCAGUUUAGUUCAACGAAACACCACGACGUCGUUUCACAAAUUGAAGUCCAAGAAAAGCGCUACAAACACAGUGUUGCGAACAAUCAAAAACAAACAAGCCAAAAGGAGACUUCGGAUCAACAGCGCCUCGUCAUCGACAGUUGUCAGUGCAGUAUUCCACAAUACAAUUACAUUUUCCUUCAUUCGAAAGUAUGCUCUUUUUAAAGGACAGUAAAGUCCUCAUUUUGGACAAAUGUCACAGUAUUAAAAAAUAAAAAAAUAAAAUAAAAUAAGGAAAAUUAAAUGUACUUUGUACAGUAUGUCUGUUGACCAAUAUUGUCCACAUUGAGACACAUUGACUAGUUAAUCACCUGAUUAUCCUCCUCUCUGAAUCUAGGUGAUUGAUGGCAGGAAGUUGACAGAAUUAGUUAGUGCUGCAACUUGAUGGCAGGAAGUUGACAGAAUUAGUUAGUACUGCAACUUGAUGGCAGGAAGUUGACAGAAUUAGUUAGUGCUGCAACUUGAUGGCAGGAAGUUGACAGAAUUAGUUAGUACUGCAACUUGAUGGCAGGAAGUUGACAGAAUUAGUUAGUGCUGCAACUUGAUGGCAGGAAGUUGACAGAAUUAGUUAGUACUGCAACUUGAUGGCAGGAAGUUGACAGAAUUAGUUAGUACUGCAACUUGAUGGCAGGAAGUUGACAGAAUUAGUUAGUGCUGCAACUUGAUGGCAGGAAGUUGACAGAAUUAGUUAGUGCUGCAACUUGAUGGCAGGAAGUUGACAGAAUUAGUUAGUACUGCAACUUGAUGGCAGGAAGUUGACAGAAUUAGUUAGUACUGCAACUUGAUGGCAGGAAGUUGACAGAAUUAGUUAGUGCUGCAACUUGAUGGCAGGAAGUUGACAGAAUUAGUUAGUGCCGCAACUUGAUGGCAGGAAGUUGACAGAAUUAGUUAGUACUGCAACUUGAUGGCAGGAAGUUGACAGAAUUAGUUAGUGCUGCAACUUGAUGGCAGGAAGUUGACAGAAUUAGUUAGUACUGCAACUUGAUGGCAGGAAGUUGACAGAAUUAGUUAGUACUGCAACUUGAUGGCAGGAAGUUGACAGAAUUAGUUAGUGCUGCAACUUGACGUGUGAUCAAAGUGUACCUACCGAGCGAGAGUCAAAACAGACGACACAUCAAUAAUUAAUAACAUCAUUGCUAUCUAGAAAGGACAGCUUUCUAACAGGUUGAAGUGGAUCGCCCUGAAGUGUGUUUUCAGGUGCACUUGGACACAGAGAGUUCAGCUAGCUAUCUGAGACAGCUAAUUAUGUCCACAAGGGUGGUUUCCAAGGCACACCUGGGUUCAGAUCCUACUUGAAAUCUUUCAAUUUACUUUGAGCGUUUGCUUUAGCCUGUCUAGAGUGCCAGGUAGCUCGGGGUUAGCAUUUUGAAGAUUUUCCUAUUCGUUAUUUUGCAACACGCAAGCUCAAUCAAGCACUUGACACAGUAUUUUAAAAAUAUUUGAACCCAGGUGUGUUUCUAAGGUUGUCUGUGUAUAUGAGAGCUUUAAGACUGUUAAGAGCUGCAGGCUGGAACUAACACACCUGGAGGUUCAAUGCCUCCAUCUCAAGACCCAGAACACCUCUGGUCUCAGUACUGAAAGCACUUUAACCCUGGGGCUGUCCUCGGGGUAAAAAAGCUAUGGGUUGUCUGAAACGGCACCCUAUUCCCUAUUUAUAGUGCACUACUUGUGACCAAAGCUCUAUGGGUUCUGAUUAAAAGGAGUGCACACUAACAGGGAUUAGGGUGCCGUUUGGGACAAACAUUUCGUUUUUUUUCUACCCAACCACAAUGUACCACAGGACUCAUCUGGUCCAGGCCAGCAGCCGGUCCAGCCCAGCAGCCGGUCCAGCCCAGCAGCCGGUCCAGGCCAGCAGCCGGUCCAGCCCAGCAGCCGGUCCAGCCCAGCAGUCGGUCCAGCCCAGCAGUCGAUGUGUUAAAAAGGAGAACAUGUUUUAGUAAUGUCCUGUUUUUUAAGCAUCCAUAUCUCUUCUCACUAGGAACACUUUUCCUUCUCUGCCCUCAGAGCAUUCUUUCAAGGUAGAAAUACACUGAGAAAUACUGCUGAAACAAAAAACACACAUUACUAAAAGAAAACAAUAUUAUUAUGGAUGACAGACUGUUGUAUUCCUCUACAGUAAAUCAAAUAAAAUAAAAAAUACAAGUAAUUCAUGUCAAAUAAAAAUCAUUUUUUCAAACAUAGUCUGCCUUUAUUCCCUUAAGUUUUGUUCAAGAACAACGAGUAGUGAUUAAAGGACGAUAGUUCACAUUGCUGAAUUCAAAUGAUUUUGUUAUACUGUUAUUUUAUAUAGCUAUUUAUUAAAAACAAAAACCAAAGGUAAAAUAAAAUACCGUUCUGUGGUUUAUUAAUACAGACGUUUGAAUGAUUCUUCCACAGUAUGUUCAUCAUCCAGAUGGGAUGUUAGACCUGUUCUGUUAGGACAUCAGGACAGAAAGAGGACAGAUGUUCUGUUAGGACAUCAGGACAGAAAGAGGACAGAUGGGAUGUUAGGACAUCAGGACAGAAAGAGGACAGAUGUUCUGUUAGGACAUCAGGACAGAAAGAGGACAGACGAGAUGUUAGGACAUCAGAACAGAAAGAGGACAGAUGUUCUGUUAGGACAUCAGGACAGAAAGAGGACAGAUGAGAUGUUAGGACAUCAGAACAGAAAGAGGACAGAUGUUCUGUUAGGACAUCAGGACAGAAAGAGGACAGAUUAGAUGUUAGGACAUCAGAACAGAAAGAGGACAGAUGUUCUGUUAGGACAUCAGGACAGAAAGAGGACAGAUGUUCUGUUAGGACAUCAGGACAGAAAGAGGACAGAUUAGAUGUUAGGACAUCAGGACAGAAAGAGGACAGAUGUUCUGUUAGGACAUCAGAACAGAAAGAGGACAGAUGUUCUGUUAGGACAUCAGGACAGAAAGAGGACAGAUGUUCUGUUAGGACAUCAGGACAGAAAGAGGACAGAUGUUCUGUUAGGACAUCAGGACAGAAAGAGGACAGAUGAGAUGUUAGGACAUCAGAACAGAAAGAGGACAGAUGUUCUGUUAGGACAUCAGGACAGAAAGAGGACAGAUGAGAUGUUAGGACAUCAGAACAGAAAGAGGACAGAUGUUCUAGGACAGAUGUUCUGUUAGGACAUCAGAACAGAAAGAGGACAGAUGUUCUGUUAGGACAUCAGGACAGAAAGAGGACAGAUUAGAUGUUAGGACAUCAGAACAGAAAGAGGACAGAUGUUCUGUUAGGACAUCAGGACAGAAAGAGGACAGAUUAGAUGUUAGGACAUCAGAACAGAAAGAGGACAGAUGUUCUGUUAGGACAUCAGGACAGAAAGAGGACAGAUGUUCUGUUAGGACAUCAGGACAGAAAGAGGACAGAUGAGAUGUUAGGACAUCAGAACAGAAAGAGGACAGACGAGAUGUUAGGACAUCAGGACAGAAAGAGGACAGAUAGGAUGUUAGGACAUCAGGACAGAAAGAGGACAGAUUGGCUGUUUGACCUGUUCAGUUUUAGGAAUACGUCCUUGAUCCCAGACAGACAACAACAAAAAAACGUAAUAAAUCAAAGCAAAUACCAACGAUCCAAAAAUAUGUUCUCCCUCUUGUCUGCAUAUUCAGUAGAAUUUCACUUGUUCUGACGCGAGUCAGAAGAUUCGUGGAGCCGAGUCAACCGCUGUAUUAAGACUAGUCCACAGAAAGGUAUUCAGACAGCAUUUAAACAGCAUGCACUGUGGGUGCACUGCACCAGAUUCUCAACCUUCCUUCCUUUAGGGUUUGUUGAUGAGAACAGAUGAAUACCUAGCUUCCUCUGGAAAUAAAACAUGACAACAGGACAAUCACAAAACAAGGUAGGAAGGUAGGAAGGUGCUUGGACAAGUCCAGUGGGUAGUCUUGAUGAGGGGAGGGGAUCGAGGGGUAUGGACAGGAAACAGCACACGUCCUUGUUUGUUUUGCGACAGAAACGACGACAGGGCUGACGCCCAAAGGGGUUCGAGUAUAAAAACGGAGUGGUUUAAAAGAGAAAGUCUUUCCUUGGCUGAGGCGCAGAAAAAGGCAGAACGGAUCGGAGCAAGCUAGACAAUGUGUUGUAGUCAAUCUGUUCUAGUCUGUUCUGGCAGCAGGGUGGACCGAGGAGCCAGUGGAAAUAAUGCAUUACCACCUCUCCUCUCCUCUCCUCUUCCUCUUUCUCCUCCUCUC
rnacentral:lncRNA from 1 species